rnacentral:rRNA from 1 species
UUUUAUGGAGAGUUUGAUCCUGGCUCAGGAUGAACGCUGGCGGCGUGCCUAAUACAUGCAAGUCGAGCGAACGGACGAGAAGCUUGCUUCUCUGAUGUUAGCGGCGGACGGGUGAGUAACACGUGGAUAACCUACCUAUAAGACUGGGAUAACUUCGGGAAACCGGAGCUAACACCGGAUAAUAUUUUGAACCGCAUGGUUCAAAAGUGAAAGACGGUCUUGCUGUCACUUAUAGAUGGAUCCGCGCUGCAUUAGCUAGUUGGUAAGGUAACGGCUUACCAAGGCAACGAUGCAUAGCCGACCUGAGAGGGUGAUCGGCCACACUGGAACUGAGACACGGUCCAGACUCCUACGGGAGGCAGCAGUAGGGAAUCUUCCGCAAUGGGCGAAAGCCUGACGGAGCAACGCCGCGUGAGUGAUGAAGGUCUUCGGAUCGUAAAACUCUGUUAUUAGGGAAGAACAUAUGUGUAAGUAACUGUGCACAUCUUGACGGUACCUAAUCAGAAAGCCACGGCUAACUACGUGCCAGCAGCCGCGGUAAUACGUAGGUGGCAAGCGUUAUCCGGAAUUAUUGGGCGUAAAGCGCGCGUAGGCGGUUUUUUAAGUCUGAUGUGAAAGCCCACGGCUCAACCGUGGAGGGUCAUUGGAAACUGGAAAACUUGAGUGCAGAAGAGGAAAGUGGAAUUCCAUGUGUAGCGGUGAAAUGCGCAGAGAUAUGGAGGAACACCAGUGGCGAAGGCGACUUUCUGGUCUGUAACUGACGCUGAUGUGCGAAAGCGUGGGGAUCAAACAGGAUUAGAUACCCUGGUAGUCCACGCCGUAAACGAUGAGUGCUAAGUGUUAGGGGGUUUCCGCCCCUUAGUGCUGCAGCUAACGCAUUAAGCACUCCGCCUGGGGAGUACGACCGCAAGGUUGAAACUCAAAGGAAUUGACGGGGACCCGCACAAGCGGUGGAGCAUGUGGUUUAAUUCGAAGCAACGCGAAGAACCUUACCAAAUCUUGACAUCCUUUGACAACUCUAGAGAUAGAGCCUUCCCCUUCGGGGGACAAAGUGACAGGUGGUGCAUGGUUGUCGUCAGCUCGUGUCGUGAGAUGUUGGGUUAAGUCCCGCAACGAGCGCAACCCUUAAGCUUAGUUGCCAUCAUUAAGUUGGGCACUCUAAGUUGACUGCCGGUGACAAACCGGAGGAAGGUGGGGAUGACGUCAAAUCAUCAUGCCCCUUAUGAUUUGGGCUACACACGUGCUACAAUGGACAAUACAAAGGGCAGCGAAACCGCGAGGUCAAGCAAAUCCCAUAAAGUUGUUCUCAGUUCGGAUUGUAGUCUGCAACUCGACUACAUGAAGCUGGAAUCGCUAGUAAUCGUAGAUCAGCAUGCUACGGUGAAUACGUUCCCGGGUCUUGUACACACCGCCCGUCACACCACGAGAGUUUGUAACACCCGAAGCCGGUGGAGUAACCUUUUAGGAGCUAGCCGUCGAAGGUGGGACAAAUGAUUGGGGUGAAGUCGUAACAAGGUAGCCGUAUCGGAAGGUGCGGCUGGAUCACCUCCUUUCU